UGGGGGAUAUUGCACAAUGGAGGAAACUCUGAUGCAGCGACGCCGCGUGAGUGAAGAAGUAUUUCGGUAUGUAAAGCUCUAUCAGCAGGGAAGAAAAUGACGGUACCUGACUAAGAAGCCCCGGCUAACUACGUGCCAGCAGCCGCGGUAAUACGUAGGGGGCAAGCGUUAUCCGGAUUUACUGGGUGUAAAGGGAGCGUAGACGGCGAUGCAAGUCUGAAGUGAAAUACCCGGGCUCAACCCGCGGACUGCUUUUGAAACUGUCAUGCUGGAGUCCAGGAGAGGUAAGCGGAAUUCCUAGUGUAGCGGUGAAAUGCGUAGAUAUUAGGAGGAACACCAGUGGCGAAGGCGGCUUACUGGACUGGUACUGACACUGAGGCACGAAAGCGUGGGGAGCAAACAGGAUUAGAUACCCUAGUAGU
rnacentral:rRNA from 1 species